GGAGGAGAAAAAGAAAGGAGAAGAAGAAGAAGUCGCCGCCGUGCAUAAUCCUUUUGUUCCGCCGCUGUCCGUCGCCGACCGCCCUCGCCGUUGUUCCUCGUCGCCGUCUGCCACUUUAGAAAUAGGAAAGGAAGAUGAAGUAUCGGGAAAUAUUGGUUCUGGUUCUAUGUUUGCUUGGGUUUGUUCUUGGAGUGUAUGGAUUGUUGGAAAGGCAGUGAAUAAUUUCUAAAAGAAAAUGGGAAUAUCAUUACAUUUUCACCCAUAGGUAAAGUGUUUGGCUCUAAUGAAAGUGGAAUUCAAUUGGGUAAAGUUAAAAGUGUUUGAUAGAGGGUGUUUGAUACAGUAGUCGGGGAAAUUGCAAUUAUUACGAACUGAACCAAGUUCCACAACAAGGCUGAUCAUAGUUGCGCCAGUUGAAGAUUCAAAAUCCACGUGUUGGGUGUUCUUGAUAUUGCUUGUAGAAUGAUUGAAGUCAUAUCAAACUGAAAGCUAAGCAAUUGUGUAGAAAGUCAGACGAUCGUUGAAGGUUUGAGAAGGCGUUUAAGAUUUCUUAUUUAAGUUUUGUAUUAGGAUCUUGUUUCAUGUACCGUUGUCGA